GGCCGGCUAGCUCAGUUGGUUAGAGCGUGGUGCUAAUAAAUUGGUGUUGGUGGCGACAGGGGUUCCUUUCCUGUGGUUGCUGAUGCCCAGUUACGCCAAGGUCGUCGGUUCGACCCCGGCGUUGGCCA